GGCCUGUUUUCAAGCCGGGCUGUCGGUCUUCUGCACUCAGACUGGAACUUACACCAGUGGCUCGCCCAGGCCUCCAGCUUGCCGACUGCUGAUUUUUGGACUUGACAGCCUCCACCUCCACAGCGGCAUGAAAAAUUCCUCAUCAUCAAUCUCUCUAUGCAUAUAUCCUAUCUAUCCUUUCGGUUCUAUUUCUCUGGGGACCCCUAGAACAACACGCAAGGUGAGAGGCCCUUGAGGAGGACUGACUGUGGCUCGCUGGUCUAAAGCUCUAAGCUGCUACUGCUGCUGACUCCAGCUCUGCAGAAGAUACAGUGGUGACAUCUCCUGGGUUCUCCUCCCCACCAGACUCGGAGAUUUUAACUUGAUCAUCUCUGCAAAGACCUUAUCUUCAAAUACAGUUACAUUCUGAGGUCCUGGUAGUUAGGGCUGCAACACCCGAAUUGGAGGGGACGUAAUCCAGCUCCUGACAAUACCGCAUAUGACAGCUGCGUCUCUGCCUGUAGUACUGUUUUUUCCAGUGAAAGCAUCUGUGAAUGUAUUCAGAAAGCCUCCUUUUGGGGCCAGGCCUUGCAGAGAAUCCUUCAGAAACUGGACAACGCCACCCAAGGCAGUCAGUGGGGAGGACGCAUUGGGUGCCUCAUUGGUCCCUGGAUCUGCCUCACAGUCCUCUAUGUUCUUCCUCAUUCCCUCUCCUCUUUCUCCGCUUUGGUUGACCUUGACGCUCAUUCCUGGGGAAGGCCCCGGUGGGAGCAGUGCAGUGACAAGAGGAGCCUGUUUCCGUCAGCACCCUCACGCUCUCCAGUGGUCCACUGGAGACACCUGUGACCUCCUCAUGCUAAGGAGCCCAGAGUGGGCAGCCCUCGGGCCCAGGCUCCAUCUGGGUGAGGCCUGUUUUAUUAUCAAUAUUCACCACAAUCAUUUGUGGGAGUGUAAUGCUCAUAUUCCCAUUUAAUAGAUGAAUAAACUGAGGCAAGAUAUAGUGACUCAGCUGAGGCCACACCGCAGUUUAAUGGGGAAGCCAGGAUGAGAGCUGGCGGCUUCUAUGUCUGUGAUCUACACUCUGGUGGCAGAGGACGUCAGAGACCCAUGUCAACGGUGAGGAGGUGACAUGCUGGUCCCUUCCAUAAAAGCUGUUUCAUAAAAUUAAAACACACACACAGUAAAGAUCCAGAUUUACAGAAGUGAGCAUGAGGGGCUAUUUGCCAGUCAACAGAUCUCCCCCAGUGGUUCUUCACUUGGGGCUGAGAUGCUACUGACCGGCAGGGCCUGGGGAGAGAACUUCUUGCUCCCCCUAGAGCUGGCUGACCCAUACGCAGGGGAUUCUGAGCGCUAGGGGCUGGGAGCAGCAUGUGCCACGUGUUUCCCAGGAGUUAGUCAUGUUUGCUCCUAAAACCUAUUGCAAUCGAGGAAUCUAAUUAAACAACACAGCAACUGCAGAAACAGUGCAAAAAGAAUGAGUGACUGUUUCUAUGAAAACUUAGAUGAACUACUUUGGAAAGAUUCAAUAAAGAGCAUGCCUAAAUAUAUACACUGGGGCUAGGAGCAGUGGUUCAAACCUGUCACCCCAGUGCUUUGGGAGGCUAAGGUGGGAAGGUGGUUUGAGGCCAGGAAGUUGAAACCAGCCUGGGCAACAUAGCAAGACCCUGUCUCUACAAAAAAAAAAAAAAAAA
rnacentral:lncRNA from 1 species